AGCAGCCGCGGUAAUUCCAGCUCCAAUAGCGUAUAUUAAAGUUGUUGCAGUUAAAAAGCUCGUAGUUGAAUUUCGGGAUCAAUAUGUCGGUCGUGCCUUCGGUACGUACUGGUAUCAUUGGUUUCUCCUUUCUGACGAACCAUGAUGUCAUUAAUUUGGUGUUAUGGGGAGUUAGGACUGUUACUUUGAAAAAAUUAGAGUGUUUAAAGCAGGCUUUAGCUUGAAUACAUUAGCAUGGAAUAAUGAAAUAGGACGUUCGAACCUAUUUUGUUGGUUUCUAGGAUCAACGUAAUGAUUAAUAGGGAUAGUUGGGGGCAUUAGUAUUCAAUUGUCAGAGGUGAAAUUCUUGGAUUUAUUGAAGACUAACUACUGCGAAAGCAUUUGCCAAGGAUGUUUUCAUUAAUCAAGAACGAAAGUUAGGGGAUCGAAGACGAUCAGAUACCGUCGUAGUCUUAACCAUAAACUAUGCCGACUAGGGAUCGGAUGAUGUUAAUUUUUUAAUGACUCAUUCGGCGCCUUA
rnacentral:rRNA from 1 species